UACAGAGGUCUCAAGCGUUGUUCGGAUUCAUUGGGCGUAAAGGGUGCGUAGGUGGCGGGGUAAAUCAGGUGUGAAAUCUCGGAGCUCAACUCCGAAACUGCACUUGAUACUGCCUUGCUUGAGUACUGGAGAGGAGAUUGGAAUUUACGGUGUAGCAGUGAAAUGCGUAGAUAUCGUAAGGAAGACCAGUGGCGAAGGCGGCUCACUGGACUGGUAUUGACGCUGAGGUGCGAAAGCGUGGGGAGCAAACAGG
rnacentral:rRNA from 1 species